AGAAGAAGAAGAAGAAGAAGAAUUAUCCAAUUGGAUCGGAUGGAGAUGCUGCUCCUCCACACCCACCAUUUCCACCUCUACUUCCUUUUUCAGGUUCCUGUACGGAACCCGAAUCGACACUGAGUCCAUCCUCCAAGCAAAUGCCUGAGAAGUCGCACAAACAACGAUCUCAACAAUUGCCGUUUCACAUUUAAAAGUGAAGAUGUCAAGCGGCGAGAGAGGCAAGG
rnacentral:misc_RNA from 1 species